UAGAACAUUUACAUUCCGUCAGAACAUGUUAUUGUUACGACAUCAGGAAUCCUAUGGGAAGGAGAAGGGCCACAGUCUGGUACAAGUCAACAGGACAGCUGUGAGUUGGGGAGGAGUGAGGAAUUUGGGCCGAGGUCAGGUCAGAUGAAGUGAGGAAGAACAGAUAUCACUAAAGUUCUGUCUAGCAACAGAUAUGUAUUGGCUGUUCAGAUGUGUAAGGAGGAGACUCAGCAUAGGAGGAAGAGUUAAAUACCAGUGCUUGUGUGAAGAUGUUUUUGUCUGUUCAGCUGUCUGACCCAUUGGGUGAAUAAACUUGGUUUGAGCUUUAAUAAUUGUCUGUGAGUUUUUACUCGGUUCAUUUAGAACCUAACAGUUGGUGCUGUGAGCAACGUUCACCACGAUUUACAGUCGAACUACAGAGUUUGAAUCAGUGAAACAGGAGCCUGAACCAGAAAUACGCCAAGUCCACUCCUGUUUCCUGAUUAAGAGGUGAUAACUACUACCAUUCUCAACUAUCUCCUGACAUGAACUGAAGCCACGUCUCAUGUGCCCACUCAUCCACCGGCACAUUGAAUGUUUCCUCUCCAAGUACUUCAAAUCCUGUCCUGCAUUGGUCAAGCCUCUGAACACCUCAACUCAUGCCUCAUAGCCUCAUUCAAUCACUGCUGUGAUCCCUUUCCAACACGGUGAAACACAAAAGGAGGCUGAGGAGGAGGAGGAUGAUAAUAAUUCCUGGGGAAGCUAGACCAGCACAACAGGCUCCCUGGAGACCAAACAGAUGUUUACAUUUGAGCUGCAUCAAAGACACAUCACAAAACAUGCCAAUGAUGCCAGCGAGCCCCGGGAAGGAAGGCCUGCCUAGCUUGUCACAAAAACAUCGUCUCAGGUUUGCUGCUUGAUGCUGCUAAAUUCAUUAAUGAGCGAGAAUUUGAGAGAAGACAAGACAAGCACUUCCUCAAACAAGGUUUUGAGAUGGAAGCGAAGUGACUAUGUGAGCUUUUGUGGUUCAUCUAAAUUAACCUGUGAAGAAAUGAGACACGCUAGACACAUGGAGUAUUGGUGAGAUUAAAGGUGCUACACAUAAGAUGUUAUUUUUAUUUUCACAUUGGAAUUUUCAGAAAAUGUCUAUAAUAUAUCUGUAGUAAAAGUGGAACGAUAGUUUUUCACAGAAUUAACUACUAAGGGUGUGCCGAUCUCAUCAUACUCGUAUUCGUAAUCAUCCGUUUUCAAAUCAAAUCAAAAUGUAUUAGUCACAUGCGCCGAAUACAACAGCCACCUUACAGUGAAAUGCUUAUUUACAAGCCCUUAACCAACGAUGCAGUUAAAAAAAUACAUGAUUAAGAAUAAGAAAUAAAAGUAACAACUAAUUAAAGAGCAGCAGUAAAAUAACAGUAGGGAGGCUAUAUACAGGGGGGUACCGGUACAGAGUCAAUGUGCGGGGGAACCGGUUAGUCGAGUUAACUGGGGUAAUAUGUACAUGUAGGUAGCGUUAUUAAAGUGAUUAUGCA